UACGAAGGGGGCUAGCGUUGUUCGGAAUUACUGGGCGUAAAGCGCACGUAGGCGGAUAUUUAAGUCAGGGGUGAAAUCCCGGGGCUCAACCCCGGAACUGCCUUUGAUACUGGGUAUCUCGAGUCCGAGAGAGGUGAGUGGAAUUCCGAGUGUAGAGGUGAAAUUCGUAGAUAUUCGGAGGAACACCAGUGGCGAAGGCGGCUCACUGGACUGGUAUUGACGCUGAGGUGCGAAAGCGUGGGGAGCAAACAGG
rnacentral:rRNA from 1 species